CCCUUGUGGAGGAGGACGCCGAAGGUGGGGCUAAUGACUGGGGUGAAGUCGUAACAAGGUAGCCGUACCGGAAGGUGCGGCUGGAUCACCUCCUAACAGGGAGACAACAAAAUGUUUAAUAUUUAUUAUUUUGUCACCUUAGGUCGAUCGGUAUCUCACUUCUUAAUUUAUUAAGAAUUUCAUUUCCUAAGUUUUUCUAGGUCACACCCAUUAUUUUUCCUGGGCCAUUAGCUCAGGUGGUUAGAGCGCACCCCUGAUAAGGGUGAGGUCCCUGGUUCAAGUCCAGGAUGGCCCAUAUCUCUAUGUUGGGGGUAUAGCUCAGUUGGUAGAGCGCCUGCUUUGCAAGCAGGAUGUCAGCGGUUCGAGUCCGCUUACCUCCACUGAUUACCACCUCUUCCAUAUUCUUUAGAAAGGAAAUUUUUUGAGUUGUGAUCAAAUUCUGAACGAAUCUAGCUUCCUAAUGAAAUCAUUAAGAUGCUGGACUCAUUGAAUAAAUUCAUUGUUUUCAGAGAACCUUGACAACUGCAUAGAUUAUUUUUAAAGACAAUAAGCAUCUUUAGUGAUGCAGAUUUAUUAUUUGUGCGAAUGCAUUAAUAACAAUUCUAUUAAGCUGAUGCUUCAAUUUUGAAGUUAUUGGUCAAGCUACAAAGGGCUCACGGAGGAUACCUAG
rnacentral:misc_RNA from 1 species